AUUGAACGCUGGCGGCAGGCCUAACACAUGCCAGUCGAACGGUAACAGGAAGCAGCUUGCUGCUUUGCUGACGAGUGGCGGACGGGUGUGUAAUGUCUGGGAAACUGCCCGAUGGAGGGGGGUAACUACUGGAAACGGUAGCUAAUACCGCAUAACGUCGCAAGAGCAAAGAGGGGGACCUUCGGGCCCCUUGCCAUCGGAUGUGCCCAGAUGGGAUUAGCUAGAAGGUGGGGUAACGGCUCACCUAGGCGACGAUCCCUAGCUGGUCUGAGAGGAUGACCAGCCACACUGGAACUGAGACACGGUCCAGACUCCUACGGGAGGCAGCAGUGGGGAAUAUUGCACAAUGGGCGCAAGCCUGAUGCAGCCAUGCCGCGUGUGUGAAGAAGGCCUUCGGGUUGUAAAGUACUUUCGGCGGGAAGGAAGAGAAGAAGGUUAAUACCUCUGCGCAUUGACGUUACCCGCAGAAGAAGCACCGGCUAACUCCGUG
rnacentral:rRNA from 1 species